rnacentral:tRNA from 1 species
GCAUCGGUGGUUCAGUGGUAGAACGCUCGCCUGCCACGCGGGCGGCCAGGGUUCGAUUCCCGGCCGAUGCA